CCUACGGGUGGCAGCAGUGAGGAAUAUUGGUCAAUGGGCGCGAGCCUGAACCAGCCAAGUAGCGUGAAGGAUGACUGCCCUACGGGUUGUAAACUUCUUUUGUAAAGGAAUAAAGUGAGGCUCGUGUGCCUGUUUGUAUGUACUUUAUGAAUAAGGAUCGGCUAACUCCGUGCCAGCAGCCGCGGUAAUACGGAGGAGGCGAGCGUUAUCCGGAUUUAUUGGGGUUAAAGGGGGCGUAGGCGGAAUAUAAAGUCAGCGGUAAAAAUUCGGGGCUAAACCCCGUCGUGCCGUUGAAACUGGUGUUCUUGAGUGGGCGAGAGGUAUGUGGAAUGCGUGGUGUAGCGGUGAAAUGCAUAGAUAUAACGAAGAACACCGAUGGCGAAGGCAGCAUACUGGCGCCUAACUGACGCUGAAGCACGAAAGCGUGGGUAGCGAACAGGAUUAGAUACCCGGGUAGUC
rnacentral:rRNA from 1 species